GACGGAGGAUGCAAGCGUUAUCCGGAAUUAUUGGGCGUAAAGCGUCCGCAGGUGGCCUAUCAAGUCUGCUGUCAAAGACCGGGGCUUAACCCCAGAAAGGCAGUGGAAACUGAAAAGCUAGAGAUAGGUAGGGGCAGAGGGAAUUCCCAGUGUAGCGGUGAAAUGCGUAGAGAUUGGGAAGAACACCAGUGGCGAAGGCGGCUCACUGGUCCGGUACUGACGCUGAGGUGCGAAAGCGUGGGAGCAAACAGG
rnacentral:rRNA from 1 species